AUGAAAAUGAAGAUCAACAAAGCCGCCGAUCUCUACUCAAUCUCCGUCUUCCCUCCUCCUCACAUCUAUUCAAGGAGGCCGAACAAUGUAUCGAAUGGACUGCAAGCGUCGCAACAUCGAUCGCAACCGUCUCAGCAAUCGUUUUCUCAGGGAUUGUCAUCUCAGCAAGGAAUUAUGUCUCAUUUCUCGCAAAGCUCGCUCGACGAAGCUAUCACAGCAAAUGAUCAGAGAGCUGGUUCUCAAGAACAUGAGAACUCUUAA